rnacentral:rRNA from 1 species
UACGGGGGGAGCAAGCGUUGUUCGGAUUUACUGGGCGUAAAGGGCGCGUAGGCGGUCGUGACAAGUCACUUGUGAAAUCUCCGGGCUUAACUCGGAACGGUCAAGUGAUACUGUCGGACUAGAGUACAGAAGGGGCAACUGGAAUUCUCGGUGUAGCGGUGAAAUGCGUAGAUAUCGAGAGGAACACCUGCGGCGAAGGCGGGUUGCUGGGCUGAUACUGACGCUGAGGCGCGACAGCGUGGGGAGCAAACAGG